CCUACGGGAGGCAGCAGUGGGGAAUAUUGCACAAUGGGCGGAAGCCUGAUGCAGCGACGCCGCGUGAGGGACGAAGGCCUUCGGGUUGUAAACCUCUUUCAGCAGGGACGAAGCGUGAGUGACGGUACCUGCAGAAGAAGCACCGGCUAACUACGUGCCAGCAGCCGCGGUAAUACGUAGGGUGCGAGCGUUGUCCGGAAUUACUGGGCGUAAAGAGUUCGUAGGCGGUUUGUCGCGUCGUUUGUGAAAACCCGGGGCUCAACUUCGGGCUUGCAGGCGAUACGGGCAGACUUGAGUGUUUCAGGGGAGACUGGAAUUCCUGGUGUAGCGGUGAAAUGCGCAGAUAUCAGGAGGAACACCGGUGGCGAAGGCGGGUCUCUGGGAAACAACUGACGCUGAGGAACGAAAGCGUGGGUAGCAAACAGGAUUAGAUACCCUGGUAGUCCACGCCGUAAACGGUGGGCGCUAGGUGUGGGUUCCUUCCACGGGAUCUGUGCCGUAGCCAACGCAUUAAGCGCCCCGCCUGGGGAGUACGGCCGCAAGGCUAAAACUCAAAUGAAUUGACGG
rnacentral:rRNA from 1 species